rnacentral:rRNA from 1 species
CACGUAGGGCGCGAGCGUUGUCCGGAAUUAUUGGGCGUAAAGAGCUCGUAGGCGGCCUGUUGCGUCCGCUGUGAAAGCCCGGGGCUUAACCCCGGGUCGGCAGUGGAUACGGGCAGGCUAGAGGUAGGUAGGGGAGAAUGGAAUUCCCGGUGUAGCGGUGAAAUGCGCAGAUAUCGGGAGGAACACCGGUGGCGAAGGCGGUUCUCUGGCCUUACCUGACGCUGAGGAGCGAAAGCGUGGGGAGCGAACAGG